UAGGGAAUAUUGGACAAUGGGGGCAACCCUGAUCCAGCCAUGCCGCGUGAGUGAAGAAGGCCCUCGGGUUGUAAAGCUCUUUUGUCCGGAAAGAAAAGCUUCGGGUUAAUACCCCGGGGUUCUGACGGUACCGGAAGAAUAAGCACCGGCUAACUUCGUGCCAGCAGCCGCGGUAAUACGAAGGGUGCAAGCGUUACUCGGAAUUACUGGGCGUAAAGCGUGCGUAGGUGGUUGCUUAAGUCUGAUGUGAAAGCCCUGGGCUCAACCUGGGAAUGGCAUUGGAAACUGGGCAGCUAGAGUGCGGUAGAGGGUAGUGGAAUUCCCGGUGUAGCAGUGAAAUGCGUAGAGAUCGGGAGGAACAUCUGUGGCGAAGGCGACUGCCUGGACCAGCACUGACACUGAGGCACGAAAGCGUGG
rnacentral:rRNA from 1 species